rnacentral:rRNA from 1 species
UACGAAGGGGGCUAGCGUUGCUCGGAAUCACUGGGCGUAAAGCGCACGUAGGCGGAUCUUUAAGUCAGGGGUGAAAUCCCAAGGCUCAACCUUGGAACUGCCUUUGAUACUGGGGAUCUCGAGUCCGGAAGAGGUUGGUGGAACUGCGAGUGUAGAGGUGAAAUUCGUAGAUAUUCGGAAGAACACCAAUUGCGAAGGCAGCUGGCUACAGGGAUAGUUGACACUGAGGCACGAAAGCGUGGGGAUCAAACAGG